rnacentral:rRNA from 1 species
CGGUAGCAGGAAGUGCUUGCACUUCGCUGACGAGUGGCGGACGGGUGAGUAAUGCUUGGGAACUUGCCUUUAGGUGGGGGAUAACAGUUGGAAACGACUGCUAAUACCGCAUAAUGUCUACGGACCAAAGGGGGCUUCGGCUCCCGCCUUGAGAGAGGCCCAAGUGAGAUUAGCUAGUUGGUGGGGUAAAGGCCUACCAAGGCAACGAUCUCUAGCUGUUCUGAGAGGAAGAUCAGCCACACUGGGACUGAGACACGGCCCAGACUCCUACGGGAGGCAGCAGUGGGGAAUAUUGCACAAUGGGGGAAACCCUGAUGCAGCCAUGCCGCGUGUGUGAAGAAGGCCUUCGGGUUGUAAAGCACUUUCAGUUGUGAGGAAAGGUUGGUAGUUAAUACCUGCCAGCUGUGACGUUAACAACAGAAGAAGCACCGGCUAACUCCGUGCCAGCAGCCGCGGUAAUACGGAGGGUGCGAGCGUUAAUCGGAAUUACUGGGCGUAAAGCGCACGCAGGCGGCUUGUUAAGCUAGAGGUGAAAGCCCCGCGCUCAACGUGGGAACUGCCUUUAGAACUGGCAGGCUAGAGUCUUGGAGAGGGGAGUGGAAUUCCAGGUGUAGCGGUGAAAUGCGUAGAUAUCUGGAGGAACAUCAGUGGCGAAGGCGGCUCCCUGGCCAAAGACUGACGCUCAUGUGCGAAAGUGUGGGUAGCGAACAGGAUUAGAUACCCUGGUAGUCCACACCGUAAACGCUGUCUACUAGCUGUUUGUGUAUUUAAUACGUGAGUAGCGAAGCU